UACGAAGGGGCUAGCGUUGCUCGGAAUCACUGGGCGUAAAGCGUGCGCAGGCGGUGAUGUAAGACAGAUGUGAAAUCCCCGGGCUCAACCUGGGAACUGCAUUUGUGACUGCAUUGCUGGAGUACGGCAGAGGGGGAUGGAAUUCCGCGUGUAGCAGUGAAAUGCGUAGAUAUGCGGAGGAACACCGAUGGCGAAGGCAAUCCCCUGGGCCUGUACUGACGCUCAUGCACGAAAGCGUGGGGAGCAACAGG
rnacentral:rRNA from 1 species